rnacentral:rRNA from 1 species
ACUCAAAUGAAUUGACGGGGAGGAGCACAACCAGUGGAGCGUGUGGUUUAAUUCGAUACGAAGCGAAAAACCUUACCAAGAUUUGACAUACUUCCGCAUGUUAUUGCCGAAAGGUGAUGGCCUUCAGGAAGAACAGCUGCUGCAUGGCUGUCGUCAGUUCGUUCCGUGAGGAGUUCCCUUAAGUGGGGUAACGAACGCAACCCCUGCUGUCUGUUACAAGUGUCAGACGGAACUGCCUUGCUAAUAGCAAGGAGGAAGGAGGGGCAGACGUCAAGUCAGCAUGGCGCUUAUGUCUUGGGCAACACACACCCUACAAUGGAGCCGACAAUGGGUUUGCGAAACGGUAACGUGGAGCUAAUCUCAUCAAACGGCUUCUCAGUUGGGAUUGAGGCUUGCAAUUCAGCCUCAUGAACUAGGAAUUGGUAGUAAUCGCGAAUCAGAAGGUCGCGGUGAAUACGUUCUCUCCUCUUGUACACACCGCCCGU